UACGGAGGAUGCGAGCGUUAUCCGGAUUUAUUGGGUUUAAAGGGUGCGUAGGCGGGCAUUUAAGCCGGCGGUCAAAUGUCGGGGCUCAACCCCAUCCAGCCGUUGAAACUGGGGAUCUAGAGUGUGCGAGAGGUAUGCGGAAUGCGUGGUGUAGCGGUGAAAUGCAUAGAUAUCACGCAGAACCCCGAUUGCGAAGGCAGCUCACUGGACUGCAACUGACACUGAGGCUCGAAAGUGUGGGUAUCAAACAGG
rnacentral:rRNA from 1 species